GAAGAGAUAGAAGGAGAAAAUCUCACUGUAGGGAUAGUCAGUUCUUGACUGUAGGAAAGGAACAGGAUGCUUGUGAACGGUGUUCUGAGAAAAAGUGGAGAAGCUGGAAUAACCCAGGCUAUGGUCAAGGCUCUUGAAACUGCUUUCCAGAAGGGUUCCAGGGAUCACUGUAUCUGAGAAGCUGAUCGUUGCCGCUAGGAGUACUUAACUAGAACUUGCUUGCUCUGUAGGCUUUCCUGAGUUUGGAACUUGAGACAUUAAAGGGGGGAGGACAGCGACUGAAAGUCCUCCAGGACCAGAC
ensembl:lncRNA